CUGGUCUCGGCCCGGCUCGGCUCGGCUCGGCGUCGGCUCUCCGCACCGGCGGGUCGGCGCGCUCCGUAAGCUUUGCUCUCGCUCCCCCGUCCGACCGCUCGGGUGCCCUGCAGCCUCGCCCGGCGCCCUACUCCUUCCCAGCGAAGGGCCCUUCCCGGAGCCUGGAAUGCAGCUUAUUCCUCGAACCAAACUGACCUGGGAAGGAAAUCUAUGCAUGUUUAAAUUCAUCUACCAAGUGCCUUAGAAAGUGCAUCAUAUUGAAAAUAAGUGUCCUCUGUUACACACCAAGCAAAAAGACAAUUUAGAGGAAAUGAGGAGGAAAGAGAAGACAGAUAACAAAGAGAAGAACCAGAGGGACACAGGAGGCUUUGAUGGCCAGACCUUUCUUCCCAGUUUGCCAUCGCUGCCUUGGGAGAUUCCUGAGGCCAGGGCCGAAUGCGUGUGGUUGGCUCCUGUGUCUGCAGCCCAAGGACAGGCACCAAGUGGGAGCUGAUAAGCACCCACAGGAGACCACCUCCUGUUUUCUUUUCCAAAGAUGGCAUAAGAAUCUAUGUCACAGUAUAGAACCUGAGAGGACAGUGGGAUCCCCUGACACAUCAACCUUAUUUUUCAGACUACCUUUAGAUUCACAGCAAAAUUG
rnacentral:lncRNA from 1 species